rnacentral:tRNA from 1 species
CAGAGGGUAGUUUGAAUUAUAGAAUGCUAGCUUUGGGAGUUAGUGGUGGGAGUUUGAGUCUCUCCUCUUUGG